rnacentral:rRNA from 1 species
AUACCGUGAAACUGCGAAUGGCUCAUUAAAUCAGUUAUCGUUUAUUUGAUAGUACCUUACUACUUGGAUAACCGUGGUAAUUCUAGAGCUAAUACAUGCUAAAAACCCCAACUUCGGGAGGGGUGUAUUUAUUAGAUAAAAAACCAACGCCCUUCGGGGCUUCUUGGUGAUUCAUGAUAACUUUACGGAUCGCAUGGCCUUGCGCCGGCGACGGUUCAUUCAAAUUUCUGCCCUAUCAACUUUCGAUGGUAAGGUAUUGGCUUACCAUGGUUUCAACGGGUAACGGGGAAUUAGGGUUCGAUUCCGGAGAGGGAGCCUGAGAAACGGCUACCACAUCCAAGGAAGGCAGCAGGCGCGCAAAUUACCCAAUCCCGACACGGGGAGGUAGUGACAAUAAAUACUGAUACAGGGCUCUUUUGGGUCUUGUAAUUGGAAUGAGUACAAUUUAAACCUCUUAACGAGGAACAAUUGGAGGGCAAGUCUGGUGACAAUUCAGCUCCCAUUCUGCUGACGCCAGAAAUAGUCAGGCAAUUCGAGAGAAUUGUUAUGCUGGCUAGUCGAUGUACCUACUGUUAUGAUGGGCAGGUACCGGCAAGACAACCUGGAUCGGGGAAGGCUAAGGCGUUUACACGCUAUGCUAAUCCCGAGCAGAGCUGCCAUAGGGAGACCUUUGGUAUAGCCUGUGUAGAGCACGGAAAGGUGUCGGCUAACUCACGUAGUUGGCUUAAGGGACGUGCCAUUCCCACCCGAAAGGGUGGCUGUCAACAAUAGCGCCCAUCACGCGAAGGUUGACAGGUUUGAAAUAUUCAAAGUUUAAUAGGCCAGCAGCCGCGGUAAUUCCAGCUCCAAUAGCGUAUAUUAAAGUUGUUGCAGUUAAAAAGCUCGUAGUUGAAACUUGGGUCUGGCUGGCAGGUCCGCCUCACCGCGUGUACUUGUCCGGCCGGGCCUUCCUUCUGGAGAACCUCAUGCCCUUCACUGGGCGUGUUGGGGACCAGGACUUUUACUUUGAAAAAAUUAGAGUGUUCAAAGCAGGCCUUUGCUCGAAUACGUUAGCAUGGAAUAAUAGAAUAGGACGUGCGGUCCUAUUUUGUUGGUUUCUAGGACCGCCGUAAUGAUUAAUAGGGACAGUCGGGGGCAUCAGUAUUCAAUUGUCAGAGGUGAAAUUCUUGGAUUUAUUGAAGACUAACUACUGCGAAAGCAUUUGCCAAGGAUGUUUUCAUUAAUCAGUGAACGAAAGUUAGGGGAUCGAAGACGAUCAGAUACCGUCGUAGUCUUAACCGUAAACUAUGCCGACUAGGGAUCGGGCGAUGUUCUUUUUCUGACUCGCUCGGCACCUUACGAGAAAUCAAAGUUUUUGGGUCUGGGG